rnacentral:sRNA from 1 species
AUCUUUGCAUGGAUGAUGAUACGUUAAGUUCUAUGAAAA